GCAAAAAUUAAGUUGGCAAAAAGUCUUCUCAGAAUGGUAAUAUUUUGAAUAAAGGUAAAAAGAUCGUAUCGAGAUUCAAGCUCUCAAGCUGCCUCCGCGAGAGAAAAUUGAACUUGAAGUUAUCCAUAUUUCAGU